UGCAAGUCGAGCGAACAGAAGGGAGCUUGCUCCCGGAUGUUAGCGGCGGACGGGUGAGUAACACGUGGGUAACCUGCCUGUAAGACUGGGAUAACUCCGGGAAACCGGAGCUAAUACCGGAUAGUUCCUUGAACCGCAUGGUUCAAGGAUGAAAGACGGUUUCGGCUGUCACUUACAGAUGGACCCGCGGCGCAUUAGCUAGUUGGUGGGGUAAUGGCUCACCAAGGCGACGAUGCGUAGCCGACCUGAGAGGGUGAUCGGCCACACUGGGACUGAGACACGGCCCAGACUCCUACGGGAGGCAGCAGUAGGGAAUCUUCCGCAAUGGACGAAAGUCUGACGGAGCAACGCCGCGUGAGUGAUGAAGGUUUUCGGAUCGUAAAGCUCUGUUGUUAGGGAAGAACAAGUGCGAGAGUAACUGCUCGCACCUUGACGGUACCUAACCAGAAAGCCACGGCUAACUACGUGCCAGCAGCCGCGGUAAUACGUAGGUGGCAAGCGUUGUCCGGAAUUAUUGGGCGUAAAGGGCUCGCAGGCGGUUUCUUAAGUCUGAUGUGAAAGCCCCCGGCUCAACCGGGGAGGGUCAUUGGAAACUGGGAAACUUGAGUGCAGAAGAGGAGAGUGGAAUUCCACGUGUAGCGGUGAAAUGCGUAGAGAUGUGGAGGAACACCAGUGGCGAAGGCGACUCUCUGGUCUGUAACUGACGCUGAGGAGCGAAAGCGUGGGGAGCGAACAGGAUUAGAUACCCUGGUAGUCCACGCCGUAAACGAUGAGUGCUAAGUGUUAGGGGGUUUCCGCCCCUUAGUGCUGCAGCUAACGCAUUAAGCACUCCGCCUGGGGAGUACGGUCGCAAGACUGAAACUCAAAGGAAUUGACGGGGGCCCGCACAAGC
rnacentral:rRNA from 1 species